GUCAGGAUGGCCGAGCGGUCUAAGGCGCUGCGUUCAGGUCGCAGUCUCCUCUGGAGGCGUGAGUUCGAAUCCCACUUCUGACA
rfam:Danio rerio chromosome 4, GRCz11 reference primary assembly.